GAUGAACGCUAGCGGCAGGCCUAACACAUGCAAGUCGAGGGAUAAGCCCUUCGGGGUGGAAACCGGCGCACGGGUGCGUAACGCGUAUGCAACCUACCUUUCACAGGGGGAUAGCCCGAAGAAAUUUGGAUUAAUACCCCAUAAUAUUGUUGGAUGGCAUCAUCUGAUAAUUAAAGUUACGAUGGUGAAAGAUGGGCAUGCGUCCUAUUAGCUAGUUGGAGUGGUAACGGCACCCCAAGGCUACGAUAGGUAGGGGUCCUGAGAGGGAGAUCCCCCACACUGGUACUGAGACAGGGACCAGACUCCUACGGGAGGCAGCAGUGAGGAAUAUUGGUCAAUGGUCGAAAGACUGAACCAGCCAUGCCGCGUGCAGGACAGACGGCCCUAGAGGUUGUAAACUGCUUUUAUAUGGGAAGAAUAAGGAGUACGAGUACUUUGAUGACGUACCAUAUGAUAAGCUCGCA
rnacentral:rRNA from 1 species